ensembl:lncRNA
CGACCACUGGACUCUGGAAGGCGGGCUGGGGGGCAGGCGACAGGGAGGCCCUGGCAUGGGCCCACUGGGCGGGAGGCGGCUCCGGCCUCCUCCGGGAACCCCGGCGGAGGUGGGGCUCCAGAUGUUCUCCACAUGCUUGGCCCUGGCUCCAGGCAGAGGAAUGUGGUUGCAGAGAGGUGCCAGGAGAGGCCAUGGGGGAGGGCCUGCAACCCGCCCCCCUCGUAGGACCCAGACCUCCCAGGGAGGGGGUCCCAGAGGUCAAGGCCUCCACUGCCCCUGCCUCCAUCUCCUCGUGGGAAGCCACCACAUCCUGUGGCUGAAACUCCUCGCCACUCACUGUGCUCGAGAAGUCACUCAGCGGAUGUCUGCCGGGACCCUUCUGAAGACCAGGCGCCCCAGACUGUGUGCACAGUGGGCAACGGCGCUGUGCGGGGAGGCCCCGCUGCCUGUCCGGGGAGCGGUGCCUCGCAAGGCGGCGCAGGCGCACGGCAGCUUCUUCCACUGCCUUUGGAGUUUUGAGAUUCCUAACGCUAACUCUUGAAGCACUGUCUUCGGGUACGAGUGUUGCAAACCUCACAUUUCAUACUGAGUGUGUUCGUGGUCCUGGCGUCAGGCUGCUUUCACUAAGAUUGCUGCUACACGCACUUGCACACGAGCCUUUCCCUGGGGAGGAGCUUCGGGGCCGGGGACCAGAGCGCACGUGCUUUCAACGUCACCCGCCAACACGCCCGGUUCACAGCAAGGCGGCGCCACCUGGUGAUCUCAAGGGCACACGCCACUGUUUUGGUUGGUAUUCUGCAACUCUUGGAUUUUUUAAAAAACACUCUUUAUUUGGCUGCGUCGGAUCUCAGUUGCAGCAUGUGAGACCGUCACGGUCAUGGGGUCUUCCAUUGUGGCUCAUGGACUCUGGUUGAAGCAAGCGGGCUUCAGGAGCUGCCGUCCUUGUGCUUAGUUGCCCCAAGGCAGGAGGGGUCUUUGUUCCCAGACCAAGGAUCAAACCUACGUCCCCAGCAUUGCAGGGCGGCUUCGUAAGCAUUCAGCCGCCAGGUCUCUCCAGGGAAGCCCCGCUGCAACGCUCGGGUUUUUGAGACGCUGGUGAGAAAGAAACCUCUUUGAGCUUUUCAUGCUGUUUCAUCAGUUACUAGAGAAGCUGAGUCUUCCUGAGUUCCGUGAAGCAUCCGUUUGAAUCUUUAGUUCAGUUUCCGGGGAUGGUUGUCUUUUCCUUGCUAAUUUGCACGGCUUUUAUGUAUACUCUGGCCGUGAGCUCUUUGCGGUGAAAUCACGGAAGCUCUUGACUAGUCCGACGUGUCCGUUUUCUGCUCUAUCCUUUGCGCCUUUUGGUGCUAUGGGGUGUUUAUCCACGGCUAGUGGAUUCGUGUGAUCUUGUUUAAAAUUUCCUGUAACUGUCUGCUUUAUUUCUGCGGCAUUUGUUGUUAUUUCUGUGUGGUUGUUUUUUUAAUUCCUAACAACAUUUUGUUUGUUUUGUGUCUUUUAUUCUUCACUAAUCCAGCCAGAUGUUUCUGCACUUUGUGAGUUUUCUCAGUCAAGUUUUUGCCCCUUUGUCGAUGUUUCAUAUAAUGUGUGUGAGAGCGCGGUUCCCCAGCCAGGGGGCAAACCCACACUGGAGCACCAAGUCUUGACCCCGAGACUGCCAGGGAGGUCCUUGGAUGUUUGUUUUCUAUUUCACGAAUUCCUGCUCUAAUCAUUAUUAUUUAUACUCAGAAUGGCAACCCACUGCAGUGUUCUUGCCUGGAGAAUCCCAGGGACGGGGGAGCCUGGUGGGCUGCUGUCUAUGGGGUCACACAGAGUCGGACACAACUGAAGCGACUCAGCAGCAGCGGCUGUUACCCAGCAUCGAGAGGGGGUCACGUCCAUGCACGUGUGUGCUAAGUCGCUUCAGUCAUGCCCGACUCUGUGAC